rnacentral:lncRNA from 10 species
UUUAUUUAUGUUUUACAUUAUUCAUUUAUUUAUUUAUUUUCUGUAGAGAUAAAGUCUAUGUUGUGCAGGCUGGUUUUGAACUCCUGAGCUCAAGCGAUCCUCCCUCCUUGGCCUCCCAAAGAGCUGAGAUUACAGGCGUGAGUCACCACACAUGGCCACCUCUUUUACUCUUGAUUAAUAUAGAUGAGAAAGCUAAGGCAUUGAAGCCCAUACAGCUAAUAAAGGACAGCGCUGGGAUGCCAGCUUUCAGAAGCUUUGCGGAGGUUGAACACAGAUCAGAGGAUAUGAGAUACUUGUGUUUCUAGCUAUAACUGGAAAGAAGAGAUUAUCACUCCACAGGAAAUGAGUUUGUGAGCACCUGCUUACUGUCGCCAUGGCAAUUUGGAGAUUUUUGACCUCCCUGAGAUGCAGUGCUAAGUAAAAUCUACCAAAUCUAUACUGGAAAAAAAAUGUGUUUAAUUCCUCCCCCUGUAACAGUCUCACAGUCAACAGGCCAGUUCUCCCUGGGAGGCACUUGCCUCACUCUUGAUUAAGCUGAGGAUGCCGAGAAGAGAAAAGUAAGACCUACUUUUGAUUUACUUGAGCUGGGCAAUAAUGAAACUCUGGAUUUGGGGGCAUUGUCUUGGCCUAGCACUGACCAGCUUUGGGACCUUAGACAACUUUUCUAACCUGUUGGAACCUCAGUUUCCUCACCUGCUGCAUGGGGAAGGUUCCUGUGACAAAGUUGCUGUUGUCUUAAGGACUCAAGGACACAUUAGCAUACAUAGUGUUUAGCACUGUGCCAGGCCCUGAGAAAGUGCUUUAUAAAUGUGGCUGGUCCCAUUAUGGACUUUCAUCAUUUCUUCCACUCCUUUGACAAACAUUGAUUGGUUGUCAACUUUAUGCUCAGAAUGAGUCUAGAUACUGGGAAUACAACAAAGAAUAAAACAGAUAAAAAUUACAGUGCUUAUAUGUUGGUGGAGGAUGCACAUAAUUAAUAUUUAAAAUAAUACUAUGUGGGUAAUAUGUUGGGUGGUUGUCAGUUGCUAAAUAGAAAUAAAAAUGAGGAAGGGCAGUAUGAAGUGUCAGUAUGGAGACUUAAGUUUUUAGUUUGGGUGGCCAGGGACUUUUGAAUCACUGAAAGAAGACUUUUGAGUAAAGGCAGUAAGAUAGAGAUAAGGGGUUAUGCAGGUAUCUGGGAGAAGAUCAUUUCAGGUAAACAGCAGAAGCAGAGGUCCUGAGUUGGGAACUUGCUCUAGCAUGUUCUAUGGAUAAAAAGGAAGCUGCCUUGUUGAAUUUGACUAAAGUGGGUAGGGGAGAAAUAGGGAGCUCAGUUUAGAGACAAGAAUUCAGGAAUUGAGACCAGAAACAAACUUGGACCAGGGUGAUGAAGCUGGAAACGUGGAGAUGUGGUUCAAUUUUCGAUAUCUUCUGAAGGUAGAGCUGACAGGAUAUGUUAUAAAACAGCUUAAUUGGGAGAUAUUUAAGAGCAAAGGCUCUGUGCUUGUUUGAAUUCAGUACAGGGCCAGAAGUAAUGACCCAUUCGUGGUAGGCAGUUCUGAGAUAUUCAGUAUUCUGAGAUGGAAUAUUCCUUAAUAUCCCCUAAGUUAAGUCACAUGGUUACUACUUGAUUUUUCUUUGUAACCAUAGAAAAAUUCACUGGUUUUCAGGGAAAUAAAAUUCUAUCCUUAAACAGUUCUUAUCAUGAGUGUAACCUGUCUCUCUGUAGCACUAAAAAAAGUAACUACCUGUAGGUCUAUUUCAACUUUCCAAUCCCAAUGUCUUUUUGUAUUUCUAUUCACAUAUUGAACAUAGACUAUAUCAAACUGAUUAUCGUUAUCUACACAUAGAAUAAUUCUUUAAGACGUCAUUCAAAGCACCUAUACACAUGAAGAGGACAGUGUUGAGGACAAGGGCCUGGAGUAAUGCUCCCGUGGUGGAUUUCUACUGCAGCAAAUGCCAACUGAAUUUUUAGUAUCAGUUUAGUCAGGAUAAAUCAACGUGCUACAAAAUCACUUAAAAAUAGCCAAUUGUUUUCCUAGUUUUUUUCAUAGGAACAUAAUAUUGCUUUCUACUAGUUUCUGGAAAUCCAGAUAUAUUAUGUAUUUUGUAUUUAAUUAGUGAUUCUUAAAAACCAAAUGAAUUUGACUUUUCACAAUUUAUUAAGUAAACGCACAUUAGUUCCUAGUGAUUGGAACUCACAUUUUCUUCAUCUGAGUGAAAGAUUCUUGCAAUCGAUUAGUGCCAAAACAAGUUUUUCACUAUUUUUACAAAUUUUACUAAGAUAUAAUUGACACAUAAUCAAAUUCACCCUUUUUUGUAUAUAGUUCUCUAAGUUUUGACACAUACACAGUUGUGUAACCAAAACCAGAGUAAGGUACAGAGCAAUCGCACCAACCCCUCAUUUCUCCUGAGUUCCUCUCUCUCUAAACCCACCUACUCCUGGCAAUUGCUGAUCCCUUUUUUGAUCCUUAGUUAUACCCUUUAAAAAUGUCAUAUAAAUGGAAACACACAAUAUUAGCUUUUUGAGACUAGCUUCCUUCACUUUUUGUAAUGUAUUUGAAAUUCAUCCAUGUUGCUGCAUAUUAUGAGUAAUUUGUUUCUUUUCUUUGCUGAGUAGUUAUUCAUUUUAUGGCUGAAUCACAAUCCGUUUAACCAUUCCCGAGUAAAGGAACAUUUUAUUUUAUUUUUUCAGUUUUUAGUAGUUGUGAAAAAAACUCAUAUAAAGAUUCUCAUACAGUUGUCUGUGUGUGUGUGAACAUAGGUUUUACUCACUUCAAUAAAUAGGAGUAAGAUUGCUGGCUUAUUUAGUAAAUAUAUGUUUAAAUUUUUAAGAAACCGAAGCAUAGUUUUUCAAAGUGGUUUUACUAUGUUGCAUUUCUAUUGCCAAUUUAUGACCUUCCAGUUGCAAACAGAGUUGCCUUUUUUUAACCAUUCUAAUAUAUGUGUAAUAGUAUCUGAUUAUAGCCUUAAAUCGUAUUUACUAAUGAUCAAUGUUACAUUUUUAUGUGUUUGUUUGCCAAACUGCAUAUCUUCUUUCAGAAAUUGACUCUUCAAAUAUUUUGCCUGUUUUCUAUUUGUUUGUAUUCUUAUUAUUGAUUUUUAUGAAUUUUUCUAUAUGACUAUAUGUCCUUUAACAAAUAUGUGAUUUGUGAAUAUUUUCUCCCAGUCUGUCACUUCUCUUUUAAUUCUGUUAACAGUGCCUUUCAAAGAGUAAAAAUUCUUAAUUUUUGUAGAGUCUAAUUUCUCAAUUUUAUCUUUUAUGAAUUAUGCUUUGACUACUGUACUUCUGUUACCUACCUCAAGGUCAAAAAGAUUGUUCUACAUAUUUUUUUCUAGAAAUUUUAUAGUAUUGUGUUUUACAUUUUUAUUUAUAAUAUUUUGAGUUACAUUUUUGUAGGCUGUAAGGCUUGGAUUAAAGUUAUUUUUGUUGUUGUUGUUGCCUCAUAUAGUGUAUAGUGGGUAUAAAAUUGUCCUACCAAAAUUUUUUGAAAAGACUAUGCUUUAACCAUUGAUAUGACAUUGUACCUUGGUAAAAAUCAGUUUACUAUAUAUUUUGGGGUUUAUUUUUACACUUCAAUUCUGUUCAAUUGAUCUAUAUGCUGGUACCUUCAUAUUGUCUUCACAGUAAUAAUGGAUAUCAGGCAGUGUGCAUCCUUCAACUUUGUUUCCUUUUUUAAAAAAAAAACAUAAUUGUUUUGGCACUUCUAGUUUCUUUGGAUUUCUCUGUGUAUUCUUAAAUCAGCUUACUGAUUUCAACCUUAAUCCCUGUGGGGACACUGAUUAAAAUUCAUUGAAAUCAUAAGUUUAGGAUAAUCAAUAUUUUAAUAAUACUAAAUCUAAAAAAAAAUGCGGACUUUGGGAGGCCAAGGCGGGUGGAUUGCCUGAGCUAAGGAGUUCGAGACCAGCCUGG